UUCAUGUAUAUUUUAUUUGCAGCAGCAAUAUUUCUUACAUGCUCACAGCAGCAUGUUGUGGAUGUUUUGGCAGUAGUAAGUCUCGGUACUUGCGGUCUGCAACAGCAGCGUACAGAUCUAU